CCAGGUGUAAGUCAGCGGUACGACGGCCUGCUUCGGGUGCAGGAGGACGCUGGUUCGAUCCCAGCCACCUGGAC
rnacentral:tRNA from 1 species